UACGUAGGCAGCGAGCGUUUGUUCGGAGUUACUGGGCGUAAAGCGUGCGUAGGCGGUGUCUUAAGUUUGUUGUGAAAUCUCCCGGCUUAACCGGGAGGGUGCGGCGAAUACUGAGAUGCUGGAGUGCCGGAGAGGUAAGCGGAAUUCCUGGUGUAGCGGUGAAAAUGCGUAGAUAUCAGGAGGAACACCUGCGGUGUAGACGGCUUAUGGACGGUA
rnacentral:rRNA from 1 species